GCACAAAUCAGUCCCAUAGAUAUGGGUCAUCUCCUGCUAGAUUGUUCAGAAGGUUGUUCUCAUCCAUCCAGAUGGAGGAUCACUAACAGGAGCGUGGAAGACUCCAGAAUCCACUCUGGCUGCAAUCCGGUGGAUAUGCAGUGUGUACAGGUAUAGUACGUGAUAUCAAGGGCAGGCGGUCAACACUGGGGGUAGACAAGAAGCAGACGUACUUCCAAGAGGGAGCUGCAGUGAGGUCAGAGGAGGCGCUGGAAGGUUUCCCUAAUAGUUCCUGGUGAAUCAAAGCAGAACCAUAAAGGUUGCUGGACUGCAUGAUGGCCUUACCCCUGAGCCGUCAUCCUGUUAAAGGAGGAACCAGUUAGAAACUGUUUUCAAAGUAACUGAGCAGAUUUCAUCUCAACAGACAAAGCUGAUGGCAGAAGAUGUCAGAGAAGAACUUCAGGCCGUGGACUGAAAAGUAGAUCAAAGCAGCUCGUGCUGCUUCUGCUUCCAAUUUAGAAGAAGAAGAAGAAGAAGAAGGCGAAGGCUUCAGCAAAGUGGCGUUCAUGGUCUCAGUGAACAGUCACGGUCACACACUGCAUGUGGUUUUAAAAGCAACAUGUCUGUUCACCACAACAAUGGAGAUGUGUAAUAUUAGUGCAGCUACGGUUUGUUCUUGAACAUCAGGGGCCCGUUCUUCGUACGUCGCUUACUACAUCCAAGAUCAAAUGACACAUCCAAGACCAAAUCAUCACGCUAACCGUGAGCUCGCUAAUCCGGUUCUCCGAACACACCUGCUGUUGACGAUUAGUACAGCUGGAUGAAGUAAUGUGAGAUCACUGGGUGUCGUAAAAGGGGCUACGCAUCGAUAGUAGAAACAUUGAUCGGCAACCCUUUGAUUGGUCGGCGAAAAUGUCGAAGGAGCGCGCUCGGCUCGGUAUUUUUCGGCAGCAGAGCAAGAACUCUUGAGUGAGGGAUUUCAGGAGUUUCAGAGUUUAAUCAGAACGCAAGGGAACACUGCAAAGGCUGCAAAAGCAAGGAGAGAGGGCUGGCAGAAAGUUGCUGACAAAUUAAACUCGUAAGUAAUUUAAUAAUAACAAUAAUAAUGGAGUGGAUUUAUAUAGCGCUUUUCAAGGCACCCAAAGCGCUUUACAAUGCCACUAUUCAGUCACUCUCACAUUCACACACUGGUGGAGGCAGCUACAGUUGUAGCCACAGCUGCCCUGGGGCAGACUGACAGAAGCGAGGCUGCCAUAUUGCGCCAUCGGCCCCUCUGGCCAACACCAGUAGGCGGUAGGGUAAAUUUAUUAUAUUACACUAUAUUAUCCAAUAUUAUAUUACAUUAUAUUAUAAUAUGUUAUAUUAUAUCCCCUUUCACAUUAGAGCCACAACAGGACCCACUAGAACAUGGGAACAAGUAAAAGUGAAAUAUAAGAAUAUUCUACAGAAUGGUAAUAUUUAUCACUUAUAUUGCUUUUCGUCUCUAGGAAAGAGACCCUGGAAUAAUCUGUUUGUUUAUAACAGCAACCAAGAAAAGGGCAGAGGAAAAAAAGACAGGUGGUGGUCCUGCACCCCCUCGUCAACAAGUUGGUUAAGUGAAUAAUACCCUCACGGGAAUAUCGAUAUCUCUCAAUGAGCACACUGUCGCGCUGAGCUAAAGGAUCCUGUCUGUCCCGCAAUAUACGCUGAAUUCUGAAAACUCUCCUUAUCAAUCUUGCACCUUCCGCAAUGGGCUGCUCGCGUAAACGGACAGGACAUGGCUGCGACAGGCUUCCCAAAUCCACCUUCGCUUUUAUAGCCGUGGUCUCUCAUCUUGAUUACACGAAGUAAUUUACUAUUACUACUCUGAAAUAUGAAUUACAUCUGUAAUAAUCACAUACAUGUAAUAGAAUGUUAAUAGUACAUUUCCCUUUUUUAGGAAAUGACCUGUAUGUAUCUGUAUGAAAUCAAUAAAUGGAUCAAGUACUGCAUUAUCUUUAGUUACAUUGAUGUUAUUUAUUUAUGGUGAAACAGUGGUGGAAUAUCGCUGUUGCUUUCGUAUAAAUGAAGCGGACAUACCUGCGUGGCCGCGAUCUAAUCCUGUUUACAUAAAGUAAGCCUGCUCCCGAGCAGGUUUACGCUUACGGCUCUGUUGCUAUGACAGCAAGUCCCGGAUGAGCUUCGGGGAACCGAACGAUCCAGGAUCACGCGAAAUCGUCAAUAUUGAAGUAAUGUCUUUACCCUCUGCAGCGUGUGGACGCAAUCACCUUAUUCACUGUAGUAAACGUGCACCGCUAGCUCACGUGACUGACUG
ensembl:lncRNA